rnacentral:rRNA from 1 species
UUCUAGGUCUGGCAAUUGGAAUGAGAACGAUUUAAAUCCCCUAUCGAGGAUCAAUUGGAGGGCAAGUCUGGUGCCAGCAGCCGCGGUAAUUCCAGCUCCAAUAGCGUAUAUUAAAGUUGUUGCUGUUAAAAAGCUCGUAGUUGGAUUUCUGGGAGGGUGCCAAUGUCCGCCGUUGUGCGUGUGCAGCGGCGCCCUUCCAUCCUUCUGUUAACACCUCUUGGCAUUCAUUUGCUGGUGGUGGGCUCAGAUAUUUUACCUUGAGAAAAUUAGAGUGUUUCAGGCAGGCUAGGCCGGAAUACAUUAGCAUGGAAUAAUGGAAUAGGACUACGGUCUCUUUGUUGGUUUGAGGGACUGCAGUAAUGAUUAAUAGGGAUAGUUGGGGGCAUUAGUAUUUAAUUGUCAGAGGUGGGAUUCUCGGAUUUGUUAAAGACUAACUUAUGCGAAAGCAUUUGCCAAGGAUGUUUUCAUUAAUCAAGAACGAAAGUUAGGGGAUCAAAGACGAUCAGAUACCGUCCUAGUCUUAACUAUAAACUAUACCGACUAGGGAUCA